rnacentral:sRNA from 1 species
GAGGAUAAGAACCUCCGGGGGCGGGAGGUUCGACCCGAGCGAAGCGAGAGAACGUUGCGCGAGCAACGGCCCGCAGGGCGAGCCAUCCUC